AUCACAUUAUUUAUUACGUCUGAUGGUAUCAGUUAUUACAACAUGAAAUUAUACACGGUUAGCUUUUAUUGUGCUCGUAACACUCAGAAAUUCGAAUAAUACUUUGGCGUGAUGUCACUCAGGAAGUUGAACCACCCGUUUGUCACAAUGUCACUUCCUGUGCUGCGUUGCAGUGGUACGGGCCACAUACACCGGAGGCAGACACAGACCCUGAAGGUGCCUUACUAUGUAGGAGCUAGCUUCACCGAGCGAUAUUCUGGAAAAGACCUGAAGACCGCAUCUCCAACCUCAGGAACAGUUGCUGGAAGGAGACGAAACAGAAGGAAGGCUUGCUGUACCUUGCUCAUCAUUUCGGAGACUGACUUGUACCAAAGGGCUCAGCAGAUGGGAACGCCUACGACUCGGAGAUUCAGAUCACGAUACAGGGAUAAGAACCCACAGACAUACAGAAGGGUACAUUUUAAUGGUGGGCACCAAUAUCUAAAAUUCCCACAGACAUACACGCAUAUAAUUUAAUGCUACACACAAAUCACAAUUGCUGCUGUCAGACUCUUAUUAUGAUUGCUAAAUACUGCACAAUUUAAACACUUGCCCCCAAAUCCCCCCUUCCCCAAAACGUAUAAAUAUUGGAUUAUAGAUUGUGCCUUCCUGUAUUAUACUUUUGGUAAAAUGUUUAUUCUCUUCUACUGAGCCAUUUACUUUAGGUUGGUAUUCUUAUCUUUUAUUAUUUCUUAUUGUUGUUGCAUUGUCCAGAAGGAAGAUGCAAGUAAGCAUUUAAUUGGCUGGUGUAUACCACAUGUAUCCUGUAUGACUAAUAAAACUUGAAAAAUAUAUCAGUAUCGCUUGAUACUGUUUUGACCUCAAUAUUGUUUGAUUUGGGUUUGAUAUCGAUAUGAGCAAGACAUAUCACGCUAUUGGUUUAUCCUUCCUGUUAACCUAUGCUAUUAUGUAAAAAAAAAGCAUAAAUGACUGUUUCUGCAUGCACAAAAUCCUCUCGCAGAUGUUCACAUGCUCUCAACUUUAUAUACUUAACGUGAGCAUUUGUCUCCAAUAAAAAAAUUGCUUGGACAUGUGGUGCGGCAGGUAGCCUAGUGGAUAGUGUUGGGCCAGUAACCGAAAGGUCGCUGGUUAGAAUACCCAAGCUGACAAGGUGAAGUCUGUCUGUGCCCUUGAGCAAGGCUCAAGGGGCGCCGUACUACCAUGGCUGACUCUGUAAAACACAUUUUACUGCAUCUGUGACAAUACAUUUUUUUUUUCUGGUUUCGGCAAUUUAGUUGAUUUGGCAAUGUGAAACCAACCGGACCAAAUGUAAAUAAAAUACUAUAGCUCAGAA